rnacentral:rRNA from 1 species
UACAGAGACUGCAAGCGUUAUUCGGAUUCACUGGGCGUAAAGGGUGCGCAGGCGGCCAUGUGUGUUAGGCGUGAAAGCCCGGGGCUUAACCCCGGAAUUGCACCUAAAACUACAUGGCUAGAGCAUUGGAGAGGGUAGCGGAAUUCACGGUGUAGCAGUGAAAUGCGUAGAUAUCGUGAGGAACACCAGAGGCGAAGGCGGCUACCUGGACAAUUGCUGACGCUCAGGCACGAAAGCGUGGGGAGCAAAAGGG